AAGCAGAUUCUAAAAGCAGUUUCUCUUCAGAACAUCUUUUUUCAUACCACUUGAUAAGCAUCUUGAAACACCAUGGCUGUAGCUGCAGUAAAAUGGGUGAUGUCAAAGAGAACUAUCUUGAAACAUUUAUUUCCAGUCCAAAGUGAAGUCUCACUCUGUUGCCCAGGCUGGAGUGCAGUGGUGCAGUCUUGGCCCACUGCAGCUUCGACCUCCCUGGGCUCAGGUGAUCCUGCUAUCUCAGUCUCCCAAAUGGAGCUUUAUAUUGUGUUUGUCAUAAAUCUACGUAUUCUCCUCUACCAGAUGACUAUAAUUGCAACGUAGAGCUUGCUCUGACUUCUGAUGGCAGGACAAUAGUAUGCUACCACCCUUCUGUGGACAUUCCAUAUGAACACACAAAACCUAUCCCUCGGCCAGAUCCUGUGCAUAAUAAUGAAGAAACACAUGAUCAAGUGCUGAAAACCAGAUUGGAAGAAAAAGUUGAACACCUUGAGGAAGGACCUAUGAUAGAACAACUUAGCAAAAUGUUCUUUACUACUAAGCACCGUUGGUAUCCUCAUGGACGGUAUCACAGAUGUCGUAAGAAUCUGAAUCCUCCAAAAGACAGAUGAUGCGGAGGUUCCUGGGGGAAUCAAAGAGAAAUGUGCCUCAUUUGCCAUUUGAGAAAAUGCAGUCUGGUGU
rnacentral:lncRNA from 1 species